GACGAACGCUGGCGGCGUGCUUAACACAUGCAAGUCGAACGGAAAGGCCCUGCUCUUGUGGGGUGCUCGAGUGGCGAACGGGUGAGUAACACGUGAGUAACCUGCCCUUGACUUUGGGAUAACUUCAGGAAACUGGGGCUAAUACCGGAUAUGAGCUCCUGCUGCAUGUUGUGGGUUGGAAAGUUUCGGUGGUUGGGGAUGGACUCGCGGCUUAUCAGCUUGUUGGUGGGGUAGUGGCUUACCAAGGCUUUGACGGGUAGCCGGCCUGAGAGGGUGACCGGCCACAUUGGGACUGAGAUACGGCGCAGAAUCCUACGGGAGGCAGCAGUGGGGAAUAUUGCAGAAUGGGCGGGAGCCUGAUGCAGCAACGCCGCGUGCGGGAUAACGGCCUUCGAGUUGUAAACCGCUUUGGCCUGUGACGAAGCGUGAGUGACGGUAAUGGGUAAAGAAGCACCGGCUAACUACGUG
rnacentral:rRNA from 1 species